rnacentral:rRNA from 1 species
AUUGAACGCUGGCGGCAGGCCUAACACAUGCAAGUCGAGCGGUUGACGGGAGCUUGCUCCCUGAUUCAGCGGCGGACGGGUGAGUAAUGCCUAGGAAUCUGCCUAUUAGUGGGGGACAACGUUUCGAAAGGAACGCUAAUACCGCAUACGUCCUACGAGAGAAAGAAGGGGCCCUUCGGGCCUUGCGCUAAUAGAUGAGCCUAGGUCGGAUUAGCUUGUUGGUGAGGUAAUGGCUCACCAAGGCGACGAUCCGUAACUGGUCUGAGAGGAUGAUCAGUCACACUGGAACUGAGACACGGUCCAGACUCCUACGGGAGGCAGCAGUGGGGAAUAUUGGACAAUGGGCGAAAGCCUGAUCCAGCCAUGCCGCGUGUGUGAAGAAGGUCUUCGGAUUGUAAAGCACUUUAAGUUGGGAGGAAGGGUUGUAGAUUAAUACUCUGCGAUUUUGACGUUACCGACAGAAUAAGCACCGGCUAACUCUGUGCCAGCCGCCGCAGUAAUAC